UACGUAGGGUGCGAGCGUUAAUCGGAAUUAUUGGGCGUAAAGCGCGCGCAGGCGGCUUCCUAAGUCCGUCGGUGAAAGACCGGGGCUCAACCCCGUGUCAGCCAUGGAUACUGGGAGGCUGGAGACAGGUAGAGGCAAGCGGAAUUCCGGGUGUAGCGGUGGAAUGCGUAGAUAUCCGGAAGAACACCGGAGGCGAAGGCGGCUUGCUGGACCUGGUCUGACGCUGAGGCGCGAAAGCGUGGGGAGCGAACAGG
rnacentral:rRNA from 1 species